CUGAGCAAGGCCAGGGAUCAAACCUGCAACCUCAUGGUUCCUAGUCGGAUUCGUUUCCACUGCACCACAACGGGAACUCCCUAAAGUACUUAUUAUUAAAAAUGCUAACCAUCAUGUGAACCUUUAGCAAGAAUAAUCAGUUUAUUGGUGGAAGGUCUUACCUCCCAUGUUGAUGGCUGUUGACUGAUCAGGGUGAUUGCUGAAGGUUUGGGUGGCUGUGACAGUUUCUUAAAGUAAGAUAACAAUGAAGUUUGCUGCAUCUAUUGAGUCUUCCUUUCAGAAAAAAAUUUCUCUGUAGCAUGUGAUGCUGUUUAAUAGCAUUUUACCCAGUAAAACUUCUUUCAGAACUGGAGUCAAUCCUUUCAAACCCUGCCAUUGCUUUGUCAACUACAUUUGUGUAAUAUUCUAAAUCCUCUGUUGUCAUUUCAACAAUUUUCACAGUAUCUUAACCAGAGUAGAUUCCAUCUCUAGAACCACUUUCUUUACUCUUCCAUAAGAAGCAAAUCCUCAUCUAUUAAAGUUUUAUCAUGAGAUUACAGCAAAUCAGUCAUUUCUUCAGGCUCCACUUUUUUUGUUGCUGUUGUUGUUUUGGCCACACCUGCAGCAUGCAGAAGUUCCCAGGUCAGGGAUGGAAUCCAUGCCACAGCACUGACUAGAGCUGCAGCAGUGACAAUGCUGGAUUCUUAACCCUCGAGCCACAAGGAACUCCAGGCUCCACUUCUAAUCAAAUUCUUUUGCUCUUUCUGCCUCAUCUUCAGUUAGUUCUUUAACUGAGCUCUUGAACUCCUCCAAGUCAUCCAUAGGAGCUGGAAUCUGCUUAUUCCAAACCCCUGUUAAUGUUGAUAUUUUGACUUCUUCCCAGGAAUCCUGAAUGUUCUUAAUGGCAUCGAGAAUGGUAAAUUCUUUCCAGGAGUUUUUCAAUUUACUUUGCCCAGAUCCAUCAGAGGAACCACCUCUAUGGCAGCCUUAUGAAAUGUAUUUCUUAAAUAAUCAGACUUGAAAGUUGAAAUUUCUCUUUGAUUUAUGGGCUGCAGAAUUCAUGUUGUAUUAGCAGGCAUGAAAACAAUAACAAUCCCCAUCAGAGAUCUUGGGUGACCAGGUGCAUUGUCAGUGAACAGUAGUAUUUUGAAAGGAACCCUUCCUUCUUCAUAAGAGUCUCAAUAGUAAGCUUAAAUUAUUUAGUAAACCAUGCUGUCAACAUGAGGCAGAAUGUUAACUCAGGUAGCUAGUGAAGGAGCAUGGGCUCAGAUAUAUUCUUUGAUAUGGAUAUUAAUUAACAUUUGUGGCUUAAGGGCUCUAGGGAGUAACACCUCCACAGGCCUUGUUUUAUUAUAGGAAACACGCAUUCCCCAGAGGCUUUGUUUACUAUAAGAAAUGUGAAUCUCUAGCCCACUCCUCAACUGAUAAAAAUAAAUAAAUAAAUAAAAAAUUAAAAAAAAAUGAGAGGAAUGGUGACUUAAUCUAAGGAAAGAAAAGGACAAAGAAACCCUAAAACUUAUGGGACAUUUCCAACCCUAAAACCCCUAUUGGAAAAGGACUGAUGUAGGUAAUUGAGCAAGGUCAAUGGGAAAAAAAUCACAUCUUUCUGGACCCCACGUUGGUGCCCCUCCCCACCUUUAAGAGAUAAAAAUCUCUAUAGGACCAUAAAGAAGGGGGAUCUUCCCCCUCCCAGCAACCCUGGGAGCUAUUUGCUUUCCUUUAAUAAAGACUUUGCUUGCUUGCUGCCUGUGUGUUCAAGGAGUUCAUUCUUUGACUGCUGUGAACAAGAACCCAGAUUCCGGUAUCAUCUUUCUGGUAUCAAACAGAUGUGCUAUUACUAGGCUAGGCUCUAUUGUUCCAUUUGUAUAGCACAGGUAGAAUAGUUUGGGCAUAAUUAUUCUGGGAUUUUUUGAAUGUCAAAUAAACACUGGCUUCAACUUCAGGUCACCAGCUGCAAGAGCCCCUAACGAGAGAGUUAGCCUUGUCCUUUGAAGCUCUGCAGCCAGGCACUGACUUCUCCUCUCUAGCUAUCAAAGUCCUCAUGGGAUCUUCUUCUAAGGAAACUGAAGGCCAAAGGCUGAAAAUUCCCUUGGUUAAAGAUACAAUGCAGAGGAGUGGAAUCACCAUAUACGUGGCUUGCCUUCCAAUUUUUGAAUUUUAGAAAUGUAUUCUGAGAUUGUGAGUGUUUUACAAAGUAUCUAAUGAAAAUUUCCUCUACAGCAGUCACAAUUAUCAAGCCAAAACGAGUCUCAUAACUGAAAUUACCUUCAAAUUUCAAUAAAUCCCUCAGCAAGCACUUGUUCUGGUUGGCUGUAUCCAGACUUUGGUUGAGAAAUGAGUGGUUUAAAACUGAAGUUGGCUGAGUUUCUGAGUAUGGAAAUCCGAAUAAAAUAUUGAAUUCGUGGGUUUAAA